rnacentral:rRNA from 1 species
GGGCCCGCACAAGCGGUGGAGCAUGUGGCUUAAUUCGAUGCAACGCGAGGAACCUUACCUGGGCUAAAUCCACAGUGAUGUCUUCUGGAAACAGGAGGUCCCUUAGGGGCACUAUGGAAGGUGCUGCAUGGCUGUCGUCAGCUCGUGCCGUGAGGUGUUGGUUAAGUCCCGCAACGAGCGCAACCCCUGUGGUUAGUUACCAGCACGUAAAGGUGGGGACUCUAGCCAGACUGCCUACGCAAGUAGUGAGGAAGGUGGGGACGACGUCAAGUCAUCAUGGCCCUUACGUGCCAGGGCUGCAGCACGUGCUACAAUGGUCGGUACAAUGGGUCGCCACCCCAGCGAUGGGGCG